rnacentral:rRNA from 1 species
UACGUAGGGUGCGAGCGUUAAUCGGAAUUACUGGGCGUAAAGCGUGCGCAGGCGGUUCUGUAAGUCUGGCGUGAAAUCCCCGGGCUUAACCUGGGAAUUGCGAUGGAGACUGCAAGGCUAGAAUCUGGCAGAGGGGGGUAGAAUUCCACGUGUAGCAGUGAAAUGCGUAGAGAUGGGGAGGAACACCGAUGGCGAAGGCAGCCCCCUGGGUCAAGAUUGACGCUCAUGCACGAAAGCGUGGGGAGAAAACAGG